UGCCUGUUGCCUAGUGACAAAGCCCGUCCCCUCGUCGCUCAACCGUCCGCGCAUGCGCAGCUGCGUCAGCAAUGCCAUCAUGGCGGCAUCCAGUAGGAGCGUGCAGACCGUGCUGCGGAAAGCGGUGGUCCCUUCUCUGGUUGUUAUUCUGGGAGCUACCGGCACCGGCAAGUCCAAGCUGGCCAUCGAGAUUGGAAAACGCCUGAAGGGGGAAAUUAUCAGCGCCGACUCCAUGCAGGUGUAUCAGGGCCUCGACAUCAUAACCAAUAAGGUGACGGCUGAGGAGCUGGCUCAGUGCAAGCAUCAUAUGAUCGGCUUUGUGGACCCGCUGGUCAGCAGCUACACGGUGGUGGACUUCAGGAACAAGGCCCAGACUCUGAUAGAGGACAUGCACCGGAGGAACAAGUUGCCAGUCAUUGUCGGAGGAACUAAUUAUUACAUCGAGUCCCUGCUGUGGAAAGUGCUGUUGGACACAGCGUGUAACAGUAUGCAAACCCUCACACAGCAGGAGAACGAAGAAGCUGGAGACGGAGGUGGAGGCGACGCAGCGGCCAAGAGAAAGUCGGAGCUGGAAGCGCUUGACGGGUCGGAGUUACACAAACGACUGGCGGAGGUGGAUCCCAAAAUGGCCACCAUGCUGCACCCCAAUGACAAACGCAAGAUCGCCAGGAGCCUUCAGGUCCACGAGGAGACGGGCGUCCCGCACAGCCACUGGCUGGAGGAGCAGAGGGGGCAGGUGGGAGGCAGUGGUCUAGGAGGGCCGCUCCGAUACCCGGAUCCGUGCAUUUUCUGGCUACAGUCUGACAUGAAGGUCCUCGACGAGCGGCUGGACGCCCGCGUGGACGAGAUGCUGUCCGCGGGACUGAUCGAGGAGCUGAGGGAUUUCCACGUUCGCUACAACCGGCAAAGGGUUCAGGACGACAGUCAAAACUAUCAACACGGGAUUUUCCAGUCCAUUGGGUUUAAAGAGUUCCAUGACUACCUUACCGCCCCUGAGAGCAGCACACAGCAAGAGAGAGACUCCCUCAGAGAAAAAGGUAUAACGGCUGUAAAGGUCGCCACCAAGCGCUACGCCCGAAAACAGAACAAAUGGGUCCGUAACCGCUUCCUGAGACGGCCUGGAGACGACGUGCCACCAGUGUACGGCCUGGAUGUGACGGACGUGUCGAGGUGGGAGGAGACGGUGCUGACUCCUGCACUGCAGAUACUGGACAGUCUCAGUAAGGGCGAAGAGCCGGCAGUUGCACCAAUCAGAGUAGAGGGCGCCGGGCAGAAAAACAAACGUCAUCUCUACACGUGCGACCUCUGUGACAAACUGAUCCUCGGAGAGCUGGAGUGGACAGCCCAGUCCAAGAGAACACUGUUAUCGCUGGCUCCUAAAGUGCCGAGCACCUGAUGCUGUGGGUAGCUGUACACCCCCGCCCCGAGAGUGUCACAACAAACCUUUUCCCUCAAUGUAGUCAAAAUGAGGGAUGAACUGAGGUUCACUGAGUUCAUGCCGCUCUCUGUAUCACACCGUCUGGCUCCGGCGGUGGCUGCCUAAAUGAGAAAAAGGAGAAGCGGCUGAAGGGCGUGUAGAGGAGGAGAUGUGAUUAGUUGUGAACUGCGUUCAGGAGGAGUGUCAUCGCUGCAGUCUGUGCUUGUCUUCUUCUCACUCUCUCUUCCUGCUUGUUUCCUCUUUGAUUAUGUCAUGCAGAUGGCACUUUUUUGUUUUCCUCCCCCCCUUUCUCUAAUUUCUUUUUUUCUUCUUCUUCCACUCCUAGACAGAGAGUGACACACCUUCCUGUUUUCCAGCAACACGGUGCCUUUCUCCCACCAGGUCAACUCCCAGGUCCGCUGAGGGAACGCGACGCUCUCUUUGUGUUGCAUAGAAAUCAUAAUAAUAAUGUGCUUAUUUUUAGACAAAGCUGCUUAGAGGCGAUGCAUUAGGGUCUGGUUGGGCCGCCGUCGCACUCCUAAAGCGGUCAGGAAUUCUCGUGGUGUUACCGGGGGGCUGUGAUGUAAUGUGUGUGUUUGUGUCACAGGUGUUUUAAUAUCCCACCAGAUCUCCUGCUUGAUCCUGCCGUCCAUCUCUGUGUCUCUGUGUCUCUUCACUUCUUUCACCUUUGCUUUCAGGCAGGAAACAGGAGUGCCAGCAUAUAAAGGACUGACUGUGUGUGUGUGUGUGUGUGUGUGAGUGAGUGCACAGGGAGUAGUUUCUGCAGUGUACUGUAUGUGAGACAAAGAGGGUGUGUGUAUGUGUGUGUGUGUGUGUGUGUAUGGGUGGGUGUCUGGUUUUCUCCAUUGUCACUGACUGGAGCGCUGAAGCCGGCCUUUUCCCGCCAGCGCGGCGUUUUGCG